UACGAAGGGGGCUAGCGUUGCUCGGAAUCACUGGGCUUAAAGGGCGCGUAGGCGGGCUGCCAAGUCCGGGGUGAAAGCCCCCCGCUCAACGGGGGAACGGCCUUGGAUACUGGCGGCCUGGAGGAAGGUAGGGGCAGAUGGAACUCUCGGUGGAGCGGUGAAAUGCGUAGAUAUCGGGAGGAACGCCGGUGGCGAAAGCGAUCUGCUGGACCUUUUCUGACGCUGAGGCGCGAAAGCCAGGGGAGCAAACGGG
rnacentral:rRNA from 1 species